rnacentral:lncRNA from 1 species
CAUGGAUGUAAUACAGAGGUCUGACUCCAAUAAGUGGCUAAAAGCUAUAAAAUCCAAAAUAGAGUCCAUAAAGUCAAUGAUGUAUGGACAUUGGUUGACCCACUUAAAAAGGAUAAAACCCAUAGGAUGUAAGUAGAUCUUCAAAAGAAAGAGGAAUGCAGAUGGAAAGGUGGUGAUCUAUAAAAUUCAUCUGGUUGCCAAGAGUUACCAUCAGCAUUAU